UUGCUUCCUCCCCAAGACUUACGUUUCUCUUCCCUCCAAUCUCUACGAAGAGCUACAUAUCCAUGCGCCCGGCUCAUACUCCCAGAUGAAACUACGCCUCCCCUACACUACGACCUUUCAUGGGGUGUGCGUGCACCGGGAGCAGUCAGCAUCUCAACGUCUCCAUCGCUUACCUUACUAGAGAAGCUUCAGGUUCAGGUCCGGGCUCGUUGGCCAACGAGCCAAUCUGCCGUCGCAUCAAUCCCGCCAUUAUAAAAUGCCAAGCUCUCAUCCUCACAAAUCCCGUUUCCCCCCAAAAUUGAAUCCUCAAUCUACUGCCGUGGUGAUUCUCAGUGGCCGUACUCCCGACUUGGCCCCCGAAAUCGCCCAUUAAAGCAAAGCCCGUUUCUGGGUUCCUUGCAGCUCACGGUUCAGCUCUGCAAUCUACCCUCAACUCCUUCUGGGUUCGGCUCGACUCGGUUCUACUUCUUCACUGUUGCAUUUGCUUGCCCCGUGCUCGGUUCUGUCUUGAACUGCCAGCGGUGAUCAUUUUGAUGAUAAGAGGCGAUCAUGGCGAAAGUUGAGGAGGAGCUUCACGUGGGUUCACUGCGGGAUGCGAGGACCAGUGGCUGUGCUUCUUUCCUUAAUGGAAGAUUCAACGAAUCCGCCAGCACUACUGUUUUCAGGAGGAGUGGUGGUCCUGUUAGACGAUCCCCAUGUGGUUGGACUAAGCAAGAGGAUGAGCUUUUAACUGCAGCAGUCACUACGUUCAAUGGCAAGAACUGGAAGAAAAUAGCAAAAUGCGUCCUUGGAAAGACGAGAACUCAAUGCUUUUAUCGGUGGCACAAGGUUCUAAAUCCUGAAGUCGUCAAAGGAUCUUGGACAGAGAAGGAAGAUAAUCAGCUAAGGGAAUUGGUCAAACAAAAUGGUGCAAGGAGAUGGGCUUUUAUUGCAAAGUCCUUGCCUGGACGUGUGGGCAAGCAGUGCAGAGAGAGGUGGUAUAAUCACUUAGAUCCUACAAUAAAGAAAGAUGCUUGGACGAUCGAGGAGGAGUCGGUGCUUGCCCGUUGCCAUGAGGUAUAUGGUAACAAGUGGACUGUUAUAGCAAGAUAUCUUCCUGGAAGGACAGACAAUUCGAUCAAGAAUCACUGGAAUUGUCAUAUGAAGGAGACUUUUGCCUCACGGUCCACUGGCUGCAUGAUGGAUAAAUCUGAAACUGAUCCUGAGUUUUGUAGUUCUGAUAUAAGUUCGCAAAUCCUGAAGGUUAAGUCGGAGGAGCAAAGUCCUGGCGAAGAAGAACAUUUACCUGGACGAAGACCAUUACUGAGGGACGGAACUGUGCUCUGUCCUACAGAUCUGGUUCUCGGAGGUUUUUACAGCAGUGUCACUAAAAGUUCAAAAAGUUCGCCUACAAAUGCUGUCUUUUGUGGAGAUGAUACGCCAUUUGGCUGUUCUUUGGGUAUCUCAUUGCCGGGAGCUGCUUCUGGGAACUUAAUUACUAGCCCAGUCCAGGCUUCUCCUUCACUGACUUGUGAGAGGCCAGAAUCACCUAAUAGGCUGAGUCUUCGUGUGCCUACUGCAAAGUCAUGCAGUCAAAUGCUAUACCCUUGUAUAGAUUCUCUGAGAUCGGGACCUACUGAGAGUAGCGGUGGAUCCUCAACCUCAGCAGUGGACUUUGAAGCUCCUUCCAUAAUGAGGAGAACAACUUCUAAGAAGAUGGCUCGUCUAAUCUCUUCAGGUUCUGUCAGCGAUUAUGCUUUCAAGACGAAGACAGGAGUUUCGUAUUUACAGAAGCCCGGGAUUUCAGCUGCCAUUGCGUCUCUCCGAAAAUGCCUAGAACAUGCUUUGCAUGCUUCAGAUAGGCCCUUCUUCAAAUGGAAGUCUCAGCACUGAAGCAAUGUCGAUAGCUUAAUUAGAAUUAUUCAAAAAGCGGUUAUUAAGCUACUGAAUGUCUUCUUUUCAAAGUAUAUCCUGUAGCACUCUCGAUGGAGAUUGGCAUCUAACGCUUUCGACUAAGUUCUCCUUCAUUCGGAGUAAUUUUUUUGUCUGAGAAUGUGCUCCGGAUUGCAGUACAAUGUAUUGUAUUUGAUAUGAACUUGUUUUUGUAGCAAGCUUACUGAUUAUCAGAUUAAAUACAUGAAAGUUUCCGUUGCUUGCUGGUUG